rnacentral:rRNA from 1 species
UACAGAGGUCUCAAGCGUUGUUCGGAUUCAUUGGGCGUAAAGGGUGCGUAGGUGGCGCGGUAAGUCGGGUGUGAAAUCUCGGAGCUUAACUCCGAAAUUGCAUCGAUACUGCCGCGCUUGAGGACUGGAGAGGAGACUGGAAUUCAUGGUGUAGCAGUGAAAUGCGUAGAGAUCAUGAGGAAGACCAGUGGCGAAGGCGGGUCUCUGGACAGUUCCUGACACUGAGGCACGAAGGCCAGGGGAGCAAACGGG